rnacentral:rRNA from 1 species
AGUCGAGGGGUAUGGUUCUUCGGAACCAGAGACCGGCGCACGGGUGCGUAACGCGUAUGCAAUCUGCCUUUCACAGAGGGAUAGCCCAGAGAAAUUUGGAUUAAUACCUCAUAGUAUAGCGACAUCGCAUGAUGAUGCUAUUAAAGUCACAACGGUGAAAGAUGAGCAUGCGUCCCAUUAGCUAGUUGGUAAGGUAACGGCUUACCAAGGCAACGAUGGGUAGGGGUCCUGAGAGGGAGAUCCCCCACACUGGUACUGAGACACGGACCAGACUCCUACGGGAGGCAGCAGUGAGGAAUAUUGGUCAAUGGGCGCAAGCCUGAUCCAGCCAUGCCGCGUGCAGGAUGACGGUCCUAUGGAUUGUAAACUGCUUUUGCACAGGAAGAAACACUGAUUCGUGAAUCAGCUUGACGGUACUGUGAGAAUAAGGAUCGGCUAACUCCGUGCCAGCAGCCGCGGUAAUACAGAGGAUCCAAGCGCUAUCCGGAAUCAUUGGGUUUAAAGGGUCCGUAGGCGGUCUGGUAAGUCAGUGGUGAAAGCCCAUCGCUCAACGGUGGAACGGCCAUUGAUACUGCUGGACUUGAAUUAUUAGGAAGUAACUAGAAUAUGUAGUGUAGCGGUGAAAUGCUUAGAGAUUACAUGGAAUACCAAUUGCGAAGGCAGGUUACUACUAAUGGAUUGACGCUGAUGGACGAAAGCGUGGGUAGCGAACAGGAUUAGAUACCCUGGUAGUCCACGCCGUAAACGAUGGAUACUAGCUGUUGGAAGCAAUUUCAGUGGCUAAGCGAAAGUGAUAAGUAUCCCACCUGGGGA